UGGUGGAGCGAUCUGUCUGGUUUAUUCCGAUAACGAACGAGACCGUGACCUACUAAAUAGUGUGCACAUCGCUUUUGUGUGCAUCACUUCUUAGAGGGAUAAGCGUUAUUGAAGACGCAUGAAAUACGGCAAUAACA
rnacentral:rRNA from 1 species